rnacentral:rRNA from 1 species
GGAUGCGAUCAUACCAGCACUAAAGCACCGGAUCCCAUCAGAACUCCGAAGUUAAGCAUGCUUGGCGAGAGUAGUACUAGGAUGGGUGACCUCCUGGGAAGUCCUCGUGUUGCAUUCC